UUGAUUCCUGUUGGAAUUUGAUUAUUGAUGAAAUGUGUAAAAGGAUUUGAUUUGAGCAUGUCUGUCUGUGGUCAUUGACUUCACCUUCAUCCCACUUUCAUCAAACUUUGCCAGACAUCUUUUAAUCCCUCAAGUUCCAUUGCUCCAGAGUUCGUCACUUCAUUGGACUGUGUAACAUAAUUAUGUGAGUAUUCUAACCAUGUUUUAUGUACAGUUGUUGAAGAAUUGUUACCUGAACAA